rnacentral:tRNA from 1 species
GCCUGGGUAGCUCAGCUGGUAGCGCAUCAGAUUUUUAAUCAGACUGUUGAGGGUUCAAGUCCCUGUUCAGGCA